CGGGGCGUGGCGCAGUCCGGUUUAGCGCGCCUGUUUUGGGAGCAGGAGGCCGCAGGUUCGAAUCCUGCCGCCCCGA
rnacentral:tRNA from 1 species